rnacentral:tRNA from 1 species
CAAGACGUAGCUUAAAUAAAAGCAUUCAGCUUACACCUGAAAGAUAUUUGCUAACCACAAGUCGUCUUGA